UUUUUUUUCAGGUUAUUUUAUUUUUAAGACAUCUCAAACAUCUAGCUACGUACCUCGCUGGCUCUGUAAAUAUGUAUUCUUUCUAUUGUUUCCCUUGUCCUCUGUUUCCUUUUCCUUCUGACUGUUCAUUACAUUCACCUGUUACAAUUUGUCUUAAAUUAUAUUAUGAACUCUUUGGAAGCAGAGAUAGUCUUCUGUUUUGUGGUUUUUAUAUUGCCUACCACUGUAGAUGCUACUGUAAUCCUGCUACUGACUUUUUAAACUUGUACAUAGUAUAAAGUUUGGAUUUUUAAAGUUUCCCUGGUUCAGCAAAAAUGUAUUCUCUGGUUAUUGGGUUCCACUUUUCUUGUUACUACUAAAAGUCCUAAUUUAAUUUUUGUUUCUAUAUCCUGCUGCUUCAUAAAGCUAGCUUCAGCAAAUGAGGAGUCACUGCUAAUGUUAUGGCUAAUUAAUUGGGAACUGAAAUGAAAGAAUUUCUGACAUUUAACAAAUUUACACAAAGUGUCUUAGAUCAUAAGCUCUUUGGUGGAGUGUCUGGGUCAUUUAUUUGUUCAUUCAGUGCUUAACACACUUGACUGGAGGCUCAAAGUAUGCAAUAGAAAUAGUAAUUGCUGAUUUAAAAUCUUGAUCUUCUGUAUCAGUGUAAAAUUUUGUUCUGUAAGGAACCCUCACUCCUAAAUUUGCACUGCAACUUCUCAUGACAUUGUUGCAGGAGUUCUGCCCACUUUCUAGGUCUAGGCUUUUACAUUUGCAUUUGAAAGAGAAUCCUUAAUUCGCAAGGCUAUAGGAGACAGGGUACUCUGCAACUUGCUGAAAUCUAAAAAGACUUCUGCAAACAAAAUAACACCACAAGUGGGAGGGGUCAGGAGGAAUAUCCCAUUACCUUUCAGCAAAGUGGAGAGGGCCAUCUUCUGCUCUGUCUCCUAUGUGCUGGAGUUCUUCUAGCUAAGGUUAAAUAAAGGGGCUGCUCAAUGGCCUUUCAGUGGUCAGGCAACACUCUGGAGAACAUUAGGUAUUCCACAGAGGGUUUUCUAGUUGGAUCCCAAUCCUAGUAACCAGGUUUCUCAGUAUGGCUAAGAAUAUUGCUGCUAGACCACAGCUUGUUGGAAUAUAAAUUUGAGUUUUCAGAGUCUGCUUUUCCCAUUUCGAUUUUCAAUUAAGUUGACCUUUUCUGAGGCUAUUUCUGCACUAGGAGGCUGGAAUAACUAGUAGCACUUUCUUGUAAAUCGCUCUUCCUGAUAUUUCACAGGCAAAAGUUUCUGCACAAAGUCAACUCUCAUUUUUAUAGAGAUCACUGCAUCGCCUCUCAUUUUGUCCCCAUCUGUUCUCUCUCUCCUUAGGACCUGCUGUGGCUCAAAACCACUUCAUAUUUUAUUAGUCCAGAACCCAGGAUUUUCUCAGAUUAAAUUUUGCUCAUAACAAAGAAGCUGUUUACCUGAAUUAAUAGAGCCUUAUGUCGCACAAUGGUUGGGUAUCCUUGCCUUUUAAGCAUGAGGGUCCCCUACCUUAGAGAGUAGGUCAUUUCAUGGGCUAAAAGUGUCUCCCUCUGUGGUGAUGGCGUGCUAGGCAAUAACUGGGUUGCAGGGGCCAGUCUACAUCUUUACUUGACAUUACCAAACUGAUAUGAUUGGAUGCAACUUGGAAUGCAAAAUACUAAGGGCUGUGAUCCAAAAUGUUUUUCCCUUACCAAUCGUUCUGUUUCAGUAAGCCUGUCCGAGGUUGACCUGGAGUUCUAGCAUAGCCUAGAUUCCAGACUGCUAAAAUCCUCUCAGAAAGGGAGAUUUUGGAUCUUACCUUCUAAUUGACUUUGUGAGGAAGAUCACAAGCCUGGAAGCCUCACCCAGAUACUGAUCUAUUUAGUUGACUUAUUUAUUGGUAGGGAGUUUUUUCAGUUUGAUUUAGCCAAUGUUUCCUUAGGCCUGGUCUACAGUAAGCUCUUAUUUCGGAAUUACCUGAGUUACCUCGAAAUAAAACUGGUUCCGUCCACACGACCAAACCAGUUUCUUCGAUUUAAAGGGCUCUUUACUCCGAUUUCUGUACCCCACCUCGGCAAGUGGAGUAGCGCUAAAAUCGAGACUGCAGUUUCAGGUUACAGGUACUGUGGAUGCAAUUUGACGAUAUUGGCCUCCGGGAGCUACCCCAGAAUGCUCCCUUGUGACCACUCUGGACAACACUCUGAACUCCGAUGCACUAGCCAGGUAGGCAGUAAAAGCCCCGGGAACUUUUGAAUUUCCUGUUUGGUCACCAUCAGCACAGUCCACCAUCACAGGCGACCAUGCAGAGUCUACCAUCACAGGCAACCACGCAGCCCCAGAUUCACAGACGAGCUUCAGCAUGUUCCAAACGGGAGGUACUGGAUCUCAUUGCAUGUUGGGGAGAUGAAUCUGUUAUGGCAGAACUACGUUCCAAAAAAAGGAACGCAAAUACGUAUGCUAAAGUCUCCAGGGCCAUGACGGAAAGAGGCUACUCAAGGGACACAAAACAGUGUCGUACAAAAAUCAAGGAGCUUGGGCAAGCGUACCAAAAAGCCAGGGAGGCGAACAGGCGCUCUAGGUCACAGCCCCAUACAUGCCGCUUCUACCGUGAGCUGAAUGCAAUUUUGGGGGUGAGGACACUACUACCCCACCACUGUCCGUGGACACCUGCAAGGGGGGAGUAGCACGGAGCGAGGAGGAUGAGUUUUUGGAGGACGAAGAGGAGGAGGAGGACAGUGCACAGGCGGCAAGUGGGGAAUCUGUUUUCCCCCCUAGCCAGGAACUAUUCUUAAUGCUGAAGCCAAUAGCCUCCCCCUACUCCCAAAGCAUGCUCCCGGACCAUGACUCUGGAGAAGGCACUUCUGCAGGUGAAAAUGUUUCAAUGUGGCCCCUAUCUACUCCGUCCCAGAGGCUGGUCCAGAUUAGAAGGCGGAAAAAACAAACUCUGGACUACAUGUUUGCCGAGCUCGUGCAGUCCUCCCACACUGAUAGGGCCCGGUUGAAUGUGUGGAGGCAAACAAUUGCGGAGUCGCGUAAAGCGUUACAUGAAUACAAAGAGAGGAGGGACGCAUGCGAUGCUGUGGUCAAGCUCAUGGGGCAGCAAAAUGACGUGCUUCACUGUGUGGUGGAUCUAAUGCGGGAAAGGCAGCAAGACCACAGACUGCCGCUGCAGCCCCUGAACAACUGCCCUCUCUCCUCCCCAAGUUCCAUAGCCUCCUCACCCAGACGCCCAAGAACACAGCAGUUUUGCAGGUACCCCACAUACUGCUGGAUAAUGCGCGAGAUAUUUACAAUGGUCAAAACUACAGCGGAGAUCUGAUCGGGCUCCAUGGCUAUGGCGCCUGCACAGGUAAUCCUGGAAAAAGGGCGCGAAAUGUAGGAGAGCAGAGUGGCAGCAGAAGCUGUGCUGUUUGGUUCACGGUAGCCGAACAAAGGCUGAAAAUGGUUGUCUUCUGUGGCUUUCACGGAGGAGGGUGCCCAGGACAGACAACAUGGAGAAGCUUGGAAGCAUGGCAAU